CGCUGGGCCAAGUCGCAUUUCUCACUUCGUCUUUCGCGAUUAUUGCAAACGAAUUUCCCGGACAAGUGUCGACAGUUUUUGGUAUUCUGGAAACAUUUUUCGGACUCGGUAUGAUGACUGGUCCGCCAAUAGGGGGCGCUUUGUAUGAGGUAGGUGGAUAUCUACUCCCGUUCCUGGUGAUAGGUUUCUGCCUAAUUGUGACUGGGCUUGUGUUGUGGUAUGUACUUCCACCACAGAAAGAACACGUCGGCGACAAUAAAUUGGCCGAGUUCAACAAGAUAUUGCGAAUUCCUGCCAUUCUUAUCACCAUGGUGACAUUCAUGGCUGGUGCUAUUUCAAUUGGCUUCAUAGAACCAACAUUGGCACCCUUUCUGGAGCAGGUAUGAAACUUGAUCUGAUAUCAACUUGUAGCAUGCACGCAUAUAUUAGUA